CACUCUAUGAGUGGCCAGUGGCUGGCACAUGGAGCAUAUAUUGAUUAGUUCUUAUUGCAUAACAAAUUGCCCAGAAAUUCCAGGGCUUAAAACAAUAAUCAUUUGUAACUGUUCAUGCCUCUCUAAAGGUUGGUGGAAGUUCACUGAUGUAGAUGGAGUUCAGCUUUGUGGCUUUGCUUUUCACUCUGUGCAGGUCAAUGGGAUGCCUGGGGCAGCUCUGCUUCAGGCUGUGGGGACCAGGAUGGUUUUUCUUAUAUCUGUUAUCCUUUUCUUGAGACUCGAUCACCAGCUGGGGUAUGUUCUCAUGAGAAAGGCAGAAAUUUUAGAGAGCAAGUGGAAACACAGGAGGAUAUUGAGGUCUUGGCUCAGAAACUGCGUACUUCUAACCUACAUGCCAAUGGCCCAAAUGGAUUACAAGCCAACUCCAAGUCAAGCGAUGGAGAAGUCCACUCUCUCUUCCUUCAGGCCACACAAAGCCAUGCUGCGUUUGUUCUCAGAUGAAACCUGCAGUGAUUGAAAGACUGACAAUGAGAAUUCAUGAAGAGAUUGAUGGCUAAGAAGAAAAGAGACUUUUCAUGAGGCAAGAGGGGAAGCGUAGGAAAAGUGAGAGGAAGACCAAAAGGAAUAUAUAGGAAGCAAACAUUUACUGUUAUGCACAACAUCUGUUCAACAGAAACAAAGAGAAGGAAGCUAUGCCUGAGCAUCAAUUUCUGAGAGAAAUUAGGAGAAUCUGGUCAUGAACUCUCAUAACCAACCAGCAGGUGGGGCCAAAGGCCAAGAAGAACUGGUAAUUGUCAGGGUGCAUCCAAGACCUUUUAGGGUGAAAAAGCAUUGAAGAGAGGCGUGGAAGUCAGUAAUCAGCAUAGUAUGGAAUAUUCAUUACCCUACAGGAGGUUGAGUUUUCCCUGCUCACAGAGCAUGAAGUUGGUGGGCCAGUCCUUACUAUCUUUUUUUCACCUAAUUUUUCAUUUAAUUUGUUAUCUGUGGUCCUUUUUUAAAACAUUAGGUUCACAAAAAUGGACAUUGCUAUUAGUCUUAUUAUGAAGGAUUAAAAAUUGUAAAAGAUACAUAAUACUUUAUGUUGUCAUUAAGAUUUCAAGACCUUGAAGUGGAUAAAAACAUAAUGGCAUCACUGCCUUUCAUAUUUAAAAUGGUUUUGGCAUUGACAGCCCAUAUCUCAGAAAAAUGGCCAGUCACCACACAUUCUCAUUGCAAAAAAUUUCAGGUACAGCCUGUUGUCAUUGAAAACAAACUGUGGAAACUAGCUGUUCAAAAGUAUAACUAAUGUAUUUUUAAACCAUGUUUUAAAAUAUUUUGAGAUGUACUAAAAUAGCUCUUGAUUAGAUGAAAAUAACUUUGUACUUCAUCAAUAAAAAUAAUUGUGCUUUUUCA
rnacentral:lncRNA from 12 species